UACGUAGGGGGCAAGCGUUGUCCGGAAUCAUUGGGCGUAAAGCGCGUGUAGGCGGUCCGGUAAGUCCGCUGUGAAAGUCGGGGGCUCAACCCUCGGAUGCCGGUGGAUACUGUCGGGCUUGAGUACGGAAGAGGCGAGUGGAAUUCCUGGUGUAGCGGUGGAAAUGCGCAGAUAUCAGGAGGAACACCGGUGGCGAAGGCGGGUCUCUGGGCCUGCACUGACGCUCAUGCACGAAAGCGUGGGGAGCAAACAGG
rnacentral:rRNA from 1 species